rnacentral:RNase_P_RNA from 1 species
AAAGAUGGGUAUGCAAUCGCUUUAUACUAUAGUUUAAUUACUAUAGAUGUAAAGAGGAAAGUCCGAACUUUAACUAUGUAUAUUAAUUAUGCAUAGUAAACGGUAAUAGGUAAUCCCUAUCGCUUGUAAGAGUAGAGGUGCGAACAGAGACGCUUUUUAUAGAAAUGUAAAAAGUAUCCUUGUAAUAGGAUAAGUUUUGUAGUAAUACAAAAUGUGAAACGGCUAAAUCCUUACCGGAAAGCAAGGCUGAAUUUUGGCCGCUUGAUCGUUAAAAGCGAUUUUAACGACAGAGAAAUGAUUGCACUUUUAAUUAUUAUUAAAAGACAGAAUUCGGUGUACAAUCCAUCUUUAAUU